GACAGAAAAAAGACACCUCUCCGAGACGAGCCUUACAUGCACUGUUAUUACCCAAGGUUAAUUUUACGGCGGCUCAUUUUAUUUUGGCUUAGAAAUAAACAUAAUUGACAAGUUUCCUUCCCCUGCAUUCUCGAUCCCACAUGUAAAUAGCACGGUCAUUUCAAAAAGACAUUGAUACAUCAUUACAACACUUGCCGUCAGUAUUUGAAUAUAUUGAUUAAGAAGGUUGUCAGCAAGAUGAAAAGGACAAGUAUGCAGUUCAAAAUUCAAAAUGUGGAUAAGUUGAGGUUCUAGGUCUUACCUUUGCAGAUUUUCAUAUUUUGCAUGAAUGAAUUCAAAGGUUAUAUGAUCAUGAUGAUGGACAGCAGAGAAAGAAAAAACAACUUUUCAAUAAUCCUGCUCCUGGAUAAAUGUAAAACAUCUUGUUUUUCGAAGGAUUGAAAUUCACCACCUAGAAUAAAUGGAGAAAACAUAGAAACAAGACCAGAAUAAAUUCAAAGACAAAAGUUGGAUCAGUUAUUAUUUUCAUCACUCAGUCAAUGAUUUGAAGUUCUUUUAAAUUCAAAAAAAUAUUGAAACCACAAUAAUGUCAAAGUUCUGUGCCGAAUGUCCAAAAAGUGGACUAUACCAUCAAACAAUGCUGGAUGAUAAGAAACUAUUAAUGUUUUGUGUUGAGAGAUAUUGUGAAAAAAAAUAGAUUUACUUAAAUA